GUCGGAAAGACGUUGAUAAAGUUGAAAAAUGACGAAGCUGAAUCAUCGACUCUAGUCUAUCAAUUCCGGCACAGAUUUCUUGGUAUUCUUCAAUGUCAAAUUUUUGUCCAGUGUCUCACCAUUAGUGAAUUGAGAUUCCUUUAGUGUGAAGGAGUUAAAUCUCAAUUUAAAAUUUGUAAACUGUUUAUACAAAUCAUCCAAUUUUGUUGUGCCACAUGUACCAAUUCUUAUAGUCAUGAAAUCAUUCAACAGUUUUAAAAAUUCAUUGCACUUUUCCUUCAUCACCAACACCAUUAUUAUUAAGUAAAUAAUUCAUUUAAGUUCAUUGUAACAACGGUUAAAAUAAAAUAAAAUAAAAAAGAAGAUUGAAUGAAGGAGGAAGAGAAAAACAUACCAUUGGAUUUGAUGGAGUUGAGUUGCAGCUGCAAAAGUGAAGUGAAGAGAGAACUGGGGGGAUAUAUAUACAAAAGGAGUAGAACCCUAGUUUAUUUGUUGGAAAACGGUAGAAGUUUCAAAACGGGUUAUGAUCAGGUUGUUUUGGACUAGCCCUAACGAGUCUUGGUCUUUAUGCACUCUAAAAUUACUAUCUGAUCCUGACACUUUACGUGCUAAAGAGUGCAGCCCUUCUUUAUUUCAUUUUCUGAAACAUUAUAAAAGUGAUACAAAAUUUCUUUGGAAAUAUGAAGAAAAAAAAUGGUAUAUAUGAAGUCAAAAGAGGAUAUAGAUCUGCACUGUAUCGAAGCUGAUCUGACAAUCUGAACCGAACAAACACUUGAACAAAAGGGAAAAGACAAACAACGUCGCACAAAGACGACAAACAAAACAACGUCGCACUAAGACGACUAAAUCACAAAAGGAAAACCUAAUUCGAUGUUAAAAUCACUUAUUUAAAUAAAAUGGAAGAAGAAAAACGAUAUGGAGGGGUGAAUUGGGGUCAAAAAUUGACCCUAAACCACCCCUCUUUGGUGGAUGAAGGAGAAGAAAUUAGCGUUUCAGCUGACGGCUC
rnacentral:lncRNA from 1 species